ensembl:rRNA 5S_rRNA 5S ribosomal RNA
GUCUACGGUAAUACCACCCUGAACAUGCCCAAUCUCCUGUGAUCUUGGAAGCCAAACAGAAUCGGUUAAUAGUCAAACAAGAGAUC